GCUCAACCAGAUAUAGUAACACAACAGAUGAAAACAUUAUUUGAUAUAGAUCCACAAACUGUUCAUAAGAUUUCAGCUAAAGCAGGAACUGGAGUAGAAGAAUUAUUACAUACUGUAAUAGAAGAUAUACCACCACCUAAUGGUAGUAGAGAAGCUGUAAC